rnacentral:rRNA from 1 species
UACGAAGGGGGCUAGCGUUGCUCGGAAUCACUGGGCGUAAAGCGCACGUAGGCGGAUUGUUAAGUCAGGGGUGAAAUCCUGGAGCUCAACUCCAGAACUGCCUUUGAUACUGACGGUCUUGAGUCCGGGAGAGGUGAGUGGAACUCCGAGUGUAGAGGUGAAAUUCGUAGAUAUCUGGAGGAACACCGGUGGCGAAGGCGGCAUCCUGGACCAACACUGACGCUGAGUGAGCGAAAGCCAGGGGAGCAAACGGG